CGCAACUUGUUGCUGCACAGAGCCUCCCAAGAGGGCACCAUCUGACAGGAGGGCCCGGGGACUCCCGCCCACCCUGCGGGGUCUCCCCAGUGGGCCCACAUGAAGUCAGGGAGCCUAUUAGGCUAGAAGGGGUGCAGGUAG
rnacentral:miRNA from 14 species